AGGUUUCUGGUGUCCCUGCACCUGUCCGACGCUCCCAAGCCAUCACUGCUCUUUGACAACUGAAGGUGGAAUGAUGUGCGAGUAUUGCCCCUUUGUCCGGGUGAUACUCGAGGGAAGGAAUCACACCGUAUACAGAACCAAACGAUUUGAGAUCAAACGCAAUAAGGCACACGGUGGAUGCCUUGGCAUCGAGAGGCGAUGAAGGGCGCGGUAAGCUGCGAUAAGCCUGGGGGAGCUGCACACGAACUGUAAUCUCAGGAUGCCCGAAUGGGGAAACCC
rnacentral:misc_RNA from 1 species